rnacentral:rRNA from 10 species
UAGCUUGCUAUCAGGCGUCGAGCGGCGGACGGGUGAGUAAUACUUAGGAAUCUACCUAGUAGUGGGGGAUAGCACGGGGAAACUCGUAUUAAUACCGCAUACGUCCUACGGGAGAAAGGGGGCAACUUGUUGCUCUCGCUAUUAGAUGAGCCUAAGUCGGAUUAGCUAGAUGGUGGGGUAAAGGCCUACCAUGGCGACGAUCUGUAGCUGGUCUGAGAGGAUGAUCAGCCACACCGGGACUGAGACACGGCCCGGACUCCUACGGGAGGCAGCAGUGGGGAAUAUUGGACAAUGGGGGAAACCCUGAUCCAGCCAUGCCGCGUGUGUGAAGAAGGCCUUUUGGUUGUAAAGCACUUUAAGCAGUGAAGAAGACUCUUCGGUUAAUACCCGGAGACGAUGACAUUAGCUGCAGAAUAAGCACCGGCUAACUCUGUGCCAGCAGCCGCGGUAAUACAGAGGGUGCAAGCGUUAAUCGGAAUUACUGGGCGUAAAGCGAGCGUAGGUGGCUUGAUAAGUCAGAUGUGAAAUCCCCGGGCUUAACCUGGGAACUGCAUCUGAAACUGUUAGGCUAGAGUAGGUGAGAGGGAAGUAGAAUUUCAGGUGUAGCGGUGAAAUGCGUAGAGAUCUGAAGGAAUACCGAUGGCGAAGGCAGCUUCCUGGCAUCAUACUGACACUGAGGCUCGAAAGCGUGGGUAGCAAACAGGAUUAGAUACCCUGGUAGUCCACGCCGUAAACGAUGUCUACUAGUCGUUGGGUCCCUUGAGGACUUAGUGACGCAGCUAACGCAAUAAGUAGACCGCCUGGGGAGUACGGCCGCA